rfam:Actinomadura madurae strain DSM 43067 genome assembly, contig: Ga0074857_126
GCGGUACCGGUUCACGUCUCCCACAACUCCCAUGGGCUUCCCCAUGCGAGCCUGGAGGCGCCCGGCGACC